GGGGCGGUGGUCUAGUGGUCAUGGCGCUCUGUCUUGUAUCGUUAUCCGUAUACCUAGAACCUAUAACCUUUACCCAAAGACAGAGAGGUCGGUGGUCCGAACCCAUCCCGCUCCA
rnacentral:tRNA from 1 species